AGUGAAUAAUUUAAAAUGAAAAUAAUAAUAAAAUAUUAACGAACUCACGUAAUGUGAAACGGAGUUUACAUGCUUUAAUUUUUUUCAUGUUAAAAAAUUUAAUGAUUAUUUUAGAUGAAUUAGAAUCUGUAUUAAACUAUUUGGAGGAUCAAUUUGAAAAAUUAAAUGCUUUAAUUUUUUCAUGUUAAAAAAUUUAAUGAUUAUUUUAGAUGAAUUAGAAUCUGUAUUAAACUAUUUGGAGGAUCAAUUUGAAAAAUUAAAUACUUUAAUUUUUUCAUGUUAAAAAAUUUAAUGAUUAUUUUAGAUGAAUUAGAAUCUGUAUUAAACUAUUUGGAGGAUCAAUUUGAAAAAUUAAAUGCGUUGGCCAAUAUUAUGCCCAAUCCAGAAGCCAAAGCCAACACAUUUGUGAAAAGCUGUCAAGAGGGUCUAACUCUACAACUGAGCAAUCUUAAGGCCACGUUGAUUGAAAUAAAAUCGGAGCUGCGGCUUUCAAACCCAGAUCGGGUAUUCAGAACGGACAAACUUGAUGUUGACGAUACGGAGAAAGCAGAAGAAGUGGAAGAGGGCGCAAAUUUGGUAUAAAAUCUGGAGGAACUAUCAAUUGGCGAUGAAAAGAAUGUGAGUACUUGAAAAUGCCACCAAAAAGUAUAAAUUUAUCAGAGUUAAUUAUUUUCAUUAUUACGACCAUUCAUUCAACCAUUAUUGUAUCAAAAAUACCCUCGUAUAAUUAAAAGUAAGUAUUAUGCACAAUA